GCCAGACUCCUACGGGAGGCAGCAGUGGGGAAUAUUGCACAAUGGGGGGAACCCUGAUCCAGCGACGCCGCGUGAGUGAAGAAGUAUUUCGGUAUGUAAAGCUCUAUCAGCAGGGAAGAAAGAAAUGACGGUACCUGACUAAGAAGCCCCGGCUAACUACGUGCCAGCAGCCGCGGUAAUACGUAGGGGGCAAGCGUUAUCCGGAUUUACUGGGUGUAAAGGGAGCGUAGGCGGUUAGAUAAGUCUGAUGUGAAAGCCCACAGCUUAACUGUGGGAUUGCAUUGGAAACUAUAGAACUAGAGUGUCGGAGAGGUAAGUGGAAUUCCUAGUGUAGCGGUGAAAUGCGUAGAUAUUAGGAGGAACACCAGUGGCGAAGGCGGCUUACUGGACUGUAACUGACGUUGAGGCUCGAAAGCGUGGGGAGCAAACAGGAUUAGAUACCCUCGUAAAU
rnacentral:rRNA from 1 species